CACCACCCAGCAAUGGGCAAAAAGACACCUUGUUAAUGGUGGUGUUCUUACAUAAGUCAGGGGUAUAGCAGAUGACAGUCCUUUGUUCACCCUAGUUUGAUGCCUGACUUGAUGGCCAUAGCAGUCUUAUACCUAGGACUCAUAA